rnacentral:rRNA from 1 species
UCUCAGUUCGGACUGUGGUCUGNAACCCGACCACACGAAGCUGGAAUCGCUAGUAAUCGCGAAUCAGAAUGUCGCGGUGAAUACGUUCCCGGGUCUUGUACACACCGCCCGUCACACCAUGGGAGUCAGCAACGCCCGAAGUCAGUGACCUAACCGAAAGGGAGGAGCUGCCGAAGGCGGGGCCGGUAACUGGGGUGAAGUCGUAACAAGGUAAC